rnacentral:rRNA from 1 species
UACGGGGGGGGUAAGCGUUGUUCGGAAUUAUUGGGCGUAAAGGGCUUGUAGGCGGUUUGUCGCGUCGGGGGUGAAAACUCAGGGCUUAACCCUGAGCCUGCUUCCGAUACGGGCAGACUAGAGGUAUGCAGGGGAGAAUGGAAUUCCUGGUGUAGCGGUGAAAUGCGCAGAUAUCAGGAGGAACACCGGUGGCGAAGGCGGUUCUCUGGGCAUUACCUGACGCUGAGGAGCGAAAGUGUGGGGAGCAAACAGG